UACAGAGGUCUCAAGCGUUGUUCGGAUUUAUUGGGCGUAAAGGGUGCGUAGGCGGCAAUGUAAGUUGGAUGUGAAAUCCUGGGGCUUAACCUCAGAAUUGCAUUCAAUACUGCGUUGCUUGAGCGCUGUAGGGGAGAUUGGAAUUUACGGUGUAGCAGUGAAAUGCGUAGAUAUCGUAAGGAAGACCAGUGGCGAAGGCGAAUCUCUGGGCAGCUGCUGACGCUGAGGCACGAAGGCCAGGGGAGCGAACGGG
rnacentral:rRNA from 1 species